AAUAUUGGACAAUGGGGGCAACCCUGAUCCAGCCAUGCCGCGUGUGUGAAGAAGGUCUUCGGAUUGUAAAGCACUUUAAGUUGGGAGGAAGGGUUGUAGGUUAAUACCCUGCAAUUUUGACGUUACCAACAGAAUAAGCACCGGCUAACUUCGUGCCAGCAGCCGCGGUAAUACAGAGGGUGCAAGCGUUAAUCGGAAUUACUGGGCGUAAAGCGCGCGUAGGUGGUUCAGUAAGAUGGGUGUGAAAUCCCCGGGCUUAACCUGGGAACUGCUUUCAAAACUGGCAAGCUAGAGUAUGGCAGAGGGUGGUGGAAUUUCCUGUGUAGCGGUGAAAUGCGUAGAUAUAGGAAGGAACACCAGUGGCGAAGGCGGCUUUCUGGACUGUAACUGACACUGAGGCAUGAAAGCGUGGGUAGCAAACAGG
rnacentral:rRNA from 1 species